UUACGUUUCUAUAAAGACUUUGCCUUCUUUCAAUUUUAAUCUUCAGACUUUUGUCUUUUUAUGUUUAAGUUAUUCUGAUACAAUUUUCGUUAUAUGUUUUUACUUAUCCCUUUAAGCAUCUACUUAUCCUAAUAUGAUCUUUUAUAUGUUUUUCCUUUCACUUUAGGCAGUUCACUUGAGAAACAUACGAUUAGGAAUGUUGAUAACUUACGAUUUUCCUUGAACUUGGGGAUAAACAUCUGAGAAUGUAUGCAUAAUCUAUUAGUUAUACCCGUAUAAUCUUCCCUUACUGAUGUGACGAUUCUAUUUUCAUGUCCCAAGUUAUUUUCAUGAUUUUUUUUUUGAGUUUUUUUAUUAAGUAGCAAUUAUAAGAAUGAUAUAUGGCUGAUUUUAGUAUCGAAGAGUUGAAUAGAUUUAUAUCAUAUUAUUUUUGAGAAUAUCUAUUAACCAUAUUUGUAAAAUCAUUGCUUUAAUAAAAGGCAAGUAUUCACGAGAAUCAAGCCCUUCUUCUUCUCUCUACAAAAUUCCUAAUAUGCCUUCUCUAAAACACACAAAAAAAGAUCUGCACAUUUUUUCGAGACCCAUAACUGUUCACGCAACCAGAUCUCGAAAUCUUCUUAAAAGUGUAAGUUUUUUAAAUCACCUAACCCUCUCCAUAAGAAGUUCCAUAUUCUAAGAUGUUUAUGUUUUAUUGAUCGCAUACUAAGGUUUGGAUCUUGGACGAAAUGGGGAAACCACCUUCGACAAGCAGUCUGGACACCGGAGGUAAGACAAAUAAUUAUUUAGCUGUUUCAAAGGAAUGAUUUUACAUAUUUAGUCUGAUUGACUAAGGAUCCUAGACUACUUAUGCUACGUACUUUUAUAUCUGCGUAAGAACAAAAUUACACACAGGAGGUCUUACAAAUCACUGCAUUUUAAAUACAAUUGUGUAGUAUUACUCACAACACGUUUUGAUGAGAUGAACCCCUGGAUCACAGUGCAUAAACCAUUACUCAAUCAAUAAGUAUACGUUCCUUCUUCUUAUAUUGACCAUCUGUAACAACCAAUUUUUUACAUUUGGCAUUUUGGCUUCAUUGGGGUUAAGAAACAUUGAUUUCUUAUUCACUUAUAUUAUUUUUGGUCUAAACAAAAAUUAUUAAACAUGUUAUAAAAUUCAUUUAUAUGUUUAUGUAACUGAUCUAAAAUUGUAUUUGAAAGAUAUACGAUUUUGAAGAUGUAGUCCCGUGCAAGGGUGGAGUCGUUGAUUUUUCACUUUAUAACUCUAUGUCUUACAAUAUUAGAAUUAUCUCUGUUCUUACGAUCAAAAAUAAACUAUAAUAGCUUUGUGAUAUUUAAUAUUGUAACAAUCUCUGUGAAGUAACAAUCUUUAUGAAGUAACAAUAUUUAAUAAACUAUAUUGUAACAAUCAACCAAUUGAUGAUCAAUGUGAAGUAACGUACGAAAAGAAACAAUAAAAAAUAAACUGCUUCAUGUUGGCUCAUAUACACACUACUCAUCAUCGUAAUAUUAGAGGUUGAUAUCUUAAGACAGUUCUGUUUCCUGUGUUUGUAAAGAAUCACGAAAGUGGAGUUAUUAUAUGUUUAUUUAUAAUUUAUAUUUAUGGAAACUACUAAUUUAUUCAUCUAAGAUUUAUAUAAAAAUAAUUAUCUUAUUAGUUUAUAUAUAAUUAAUAUAUAUGUAAAUAUUUCAUUUUUUAUUAUUCAGUCCUAAUUUCUAUAGUUCUGUAUCAAAUAAUAAUUUAAAAAUUACUAAUUCCUCCAUUUUGUUUUAAAACACAGUUGUGAAUCUCAUUAUACUUUAAGUUUUUCAGAAAACAAUGCAAAAUAUUAAUAUACUUUGCAUUAUACUUUAAGUUUUUCAGAAAACAAUGCAAAGUAUCUGUCAUAGCUUCAAUAAGUCAUUCAUAUCUAUGGGAUAGCUGCCACAAGUUCUCUUUGAAAACAAAUAUGCGAGUCAAUCAAGACGAGAAGGAGUUCUCUAAGUGGCUUCUCAAAGUCGGGGAAGGUCGCACACAAUCAGUACAAGAAGAUGAGGAUGAUGGCUACCAUGAACAGAUGAUAAUUGUCGACAACUCACUGGUUCAAGAGAUUAAGGAUGACUCUUUAAAACAAGUUGUUGAUGCCGCAUAUGGAGAAGUCAACAAGAUAAAGGCCUCCCAAAGCUCCUACAUUGAUAGAGCUAUACGUACACCUCGAAAUGAAACAGUCGAUGAGAUCAAUGCAUACACAAUCUCCAAAACUGACGGGAAGUCAAGAGACUACUACAGUUACGAUAGCUUUGAGAUUUCAGACACUCAAUCUGAUCAAAAUGAUACAUUAUAUGUGAUUGAGUAUCUCAAUUCCUUGAAAUUUCCAGGAUUGCCUUCUCAUAAGCUCACUCUCAAGUUGGGGCCCCGGUUAUGCUUCUGCGAAACAUAAAUCAGAGAAAAGGAUUAUGUAAUGGUACCCGUAUGAUCCUAACCUACAUAGGCGAACGAGUGCUUAAGGCAGAAAUAAUCACUAGCUCACACAUUGGAAAAGAAGUAUUGAUACCAAGGAUUAUACUCUUGCAUGAUGAAACAAAGCUACCGUUCACUUUACGUCGACAACAAUUCCCUAUUAGAUUGUGUUAUGCAAUGGCAAUCAACAAAAGUCAGGGGAAAAGUUUAAAAGAGAUUCUCCUAUAUCUUCCUAAACCGUCUUCGCCCAUGGUCAACUCUAUGUAGCACUCUCAUGUGUAACAAGCAGAGCAUGACUAAAAAUCAUUAAAGGCGAAGAUUCACACCCACAAAAAGUGAAGAACAUAGUCUACAAAGAAAUCUUCAACCGCCUUCGUUCCCAUGAGAUAUUUUAGCUAUCAACUGAAGAAGUCAUAGCAAAAACUCCUACCCUGAUGAUGGAUAUCUCACUACUAUGAAGCUCCCCAGCUCGGUAAAUCUCAUCACAUCUACAUUUCCUCUUCGUAAAAAUGUCCACCAUCGUAUCUACGAUUUCCAUUUUUCUGUCCUAAGACCUUAGUAUCUGUUCUUGGUAACGAUAAUAACUUUCCACUGCUUCUGCACAUGAGUUAUACCAAACUUUUAUUCCAUAACUGAUCUACUUUACUCUAGGCAACCACAAAAGUUUGACAAAUCAAACAAUAAACAGAUCAAACAUCACCACAUAUGCGUUAGAAUUUAAAUAAUAUAAGCUACUGCUGAGCAAAACAAGUUGAUUACAUAAGCUACUGAUAAAUGCAAAAAUAAACGACAUAACAAACAGGAUUUAAUAUAAAAGUUGAUGCGCAUGAACCUCCAACAUUCCCAUUGUUUUGGAAAAUACAACACUCUCAUUCCAAAUUCUUAUUAUGAUGUUUACUAACUUUAGGAUUGCUAAAAUCCAGUUGCAACAACAAAGGUAGUAAUUUGCAUACUGCUAAGCAGGUACCGAGAUUACAUUAAACCCACCCCUUUAUUUAAUAUUUUGAGUGAGUCCAGCUUAUUUACACUCACACAUUACAUACAGGUCAAAAAGGGUUCGCUUGACCCUAAUGGACAAUGCAUCUGCUCUGUUUAGAGAGUUACAUUGCAGGACAGGCUUGAAACACGAAGUCGUAAUCAUUACAAGCAUCAAUCCCAGAGUGUGCAAAGGAAAGCUGAUACUCACCUCAACACCUGCUACCCGCUUUUACUGUGACAGUACUAUUGAUCUUAUACGAAGCUUCAAUCAGAGGAACAAAGUUAGUAAUCACUCAUGAGUGAUCAACUAGGCUUUGGUCUAUAGUCUAUAACAAUAAUUCAUUUUCAUGGUUUAAAAAGAAGUUUGUUGCUUUUUAUGAAACUUUAUAAAACAUUCUAUGAAAAAGAUUUAUAAAACUUUUAUCUACGCCA